rnacentral:tRNA from 1 species
ACUUUUAAAGGGUAAGAGCUANCCAUUGGUCUUAGGCACCAAAAAACGGUGCAACUCCAGAUAAAAGUA